rnacentral:misc_RNA from 1 species
GAAAUGCGAUAAGUAAUGUGAAUUGCAGAAUUCAGUGAAUCAUCGAAUCUUUGAACGCACCUUGCGCUCCUUGGUAUUCCUUGGAGCAUGCCUGUUUGAGUAUCAUGAAAUCUUCAAAGUAACUCUUUUGUUAACUCAAUUGGUUUCUACUUUGGUAUUGGAGGUCUUUGCAGCUUCACACCUGCUCCUCUUUGUUCAUUAGCUGGAUCUCAGUGUUAUGCUUGGUUCCACUCGGCGUGAUAAGUUAUCUAUCGCUGAGGACACUGUAAAAGGUGGCCAAGGUAAAUGCAGAUGAACGGCUUCUAAUAGUCCAUUGACUUGGACAAUACUUUUAUGAUCUGAUCUCAAAUCAGGUAGGACUACCCGCUGAACUUAAGC